rnacentral:tRNA from 1 species
GCAGAAGCGGCAGGGCGCGACUGAUCGACCUUCCCAAGGUUGAGACGCGGGUUCGAUUCCCGCCAUCCGCUCCA